GAUUACCGGUGGCGGAUGGGCAUGCGGCGCAUUAGCUAGUCGGCGGGGUAACGGCCCACCGAGGCGACGAUGCGUAGGGGUUCUGAGAGGAAGGUCCCCCACACUGGUACUGAGACACGGACCAGACUCCUACGGGAGGCAGCAGUGAGGAAUAUUGGUCAAUGGGCGCGAGCCUGAACCAGCCAAGUCGCGUGAGGGAUGACGGUCCUACGGAUUGUAAACCUCUUUUGCCGGGGAGCAAGCGUGCGUUCGUGAACGCGCGUCGAGAGUACCCGGAGAAAAAGCAUCGGCUAACUCCGUGCCAGCAGCCGCGGUAAUACGGAGGAUGCGAGCGUUAUCCGGAUUUAUUGGGUUUAAAGGGUGCGUAGGCGGGAUGCCAAGUCAGCGGUAAAAAUGCGGUGCUCAACGCCGUCGAGCCGUUGAAACUGGCGUUCUUGAGUGGGCGAGAAGUAUGCGGAAUGCGUGGUGUAGCGGUGAAAUGCAUAGAUAUCACGCAGAACUCCGAUUGCGAAGGCAGCAUACCGGCGCCCUACUGACGCUGAGGCACGAAAGCGUGGGUAUCGAACAGGAUUAGAUACCCUGGUAGUCCACGCAGUAAACGAUGAAUG
rnacentral:rRNA from 1 species